rnacentral:rRNA from 1 species
UACAGAGGUGGCAAGCGUUGUUCGGAUUCACUGGGCGUAAAGGGUGCGUAGGCGGUCGGGUAAGUCUGAUGUGAAAUCUCACAGCUUAACUGUGAAACUGCAUUGGAUACUAUUCGGCUUGAGAGUUGGAGGGGGGACUGGAAUUCUUGAUGUAGCAGUGAAAUGCGUAGAUAUCAAGAGGAACACCAGUGGCGAAGGCGAGUCCCUGGACAACUACUGACGCUGAGGCAUGAAAGCUAGGGGAGCAAACAGG